rnacentral:snRNA from 1 species
GUGCUCGCUUUGGUAGCACAUACACUAAAAUUGGAAGGAUACAGAGAAGGUUAGCAUGGCCCCUGUGCAAGGAUGACACACAAAUUCAUGAAGCAUUCUGUAUUAAA